CAACUCAUGACUGCGUAUUGUUCUUAGAAACCAAAGGUCAAACCGGGAAAGUCUCUUCCUUUGGAUGUGGACGAGGGAGCAGAGAAGAAGAUGAAAGCUCUACAGAACAAGUUGACCAGAGACAAACUUCAGGAAAAGAGGUGCUCGUGGGGAGAAGAGCUUGCUGACCAUGCUGCAGUCUUACAGAGCAAUGCCGGGGUCUCUCCUCAAUGCAGUAGAGCAGUUGGAGAGAGAGCGUUGGCGUGCGGGCCAGGCUGAGAACUGCUGUGUGUUCCUACCUGACGGUACUGCCUCCCUGGUUCCAGCCCGUGCUGGACAUUCCAUCCACACCAUGCUGACUGGGUUCUAUGAGAAGAAAGGCUUUCCCCUCUUGGAUGUCAUCAUCUACCUGCAGGGCAAGGACAAGUUGAGCCUCAGUCAGAGUUGGCUCCUACAUGCAGGGCAGAGGCCAACUGUGUAAUAAGCAUGUACCUCCCAAGCAGAAUUGUUUUAUAUUUUAUUUAACCUUUAUUUACCAGGCAAGUCAGUUAAGAACAAAUUCUUAUUUACAAUGACGGCCAAUAAGAAUCAGAAUCACGUUUAUUGCCCUAAAAGAGGAAAAUCUUGGCGUAGCUCACACAUUACAUACACAUGACACACACAUGAACGCUACAUGGAAUUGUUCAUAAUAGCUCCUGGAAUGAAACGAUUGGUUUAACCCAAAAUGGUGUCUAUCUGUCACUUAGCAACAUCCUAGGUGGAAAAGAGUUUCUAUUGUUGAUGUACCUGUCCUGUUUGUUCUCUCUCUGUUCUCUGGUCUCUCCACAGAAACCCCUCUCUCUGGACCAGGACAGCUCAGCUCUGAAGGAAAAGCAGGAUUUUCUGGAGCUCAGCGCGUCUUUCGCAUGGGUGACCACAUCCUGAUAUUCCAUGACUUUUAUUUAUCCUUGAAAAGGAAAAGGCUCCAUGCUUGCUCAACAUUAAAAAACGUGUCACUAUUAAAAGCUGGACAUUUUGGGCCUUCAUCAAUGGCCUUCAUCAAUUAGAAAAAUGACACAGAGGGAGUAUAUAGCUCAUAAGGCAUGUCAUGGGGAAGACAAUUUUAUUAUCCUGUAAUUAAAUAAAUAAUACAGCCAGACAAAAAGUAUUUCUCAGGGUGGAGAUAGUGUCCACAGGGAAGACAGUGGGUGUUGUGAUGACUUCCAAUGGAACUCUACAGGAAGCAAUGACCCCGGUGCUCCAGAAGCAACGUCUGCUACCACAGGACGUCAUAGUCACCAUGAGUAGGAGCAUAGAGUCACUGAGCAUGAGCACGGCCUUAACCUCACUGGAC